AGCCUUGACAUUGCACAUAAUAUAUCUAAUAAAAGGACCAACUCAUGCAUACAAUGCUCAAUCUCCAUUGUUCUACCUUUUUCCCAAACAUACAAGUUACACAAUCACUUCCCAAUGUCAAACCCAACUCACAUCUCUCACCAAAAGAUCCCAAAAACACUUUGCACAUAAACUCUUUUUCUUUGAAAUCUAUAAACGAUUUUCUCAACUUCCUA
rnacentral:lncRNA from 1 species